AUUGAACGCUGGCGGCAGGCCUAACACAUGCAAGUCGAGCGGAUGACGGGAGCUUGCUCCUUGAUUCAGCGGCGGACGGGUGAGUAAUGCCUAGGAGUCUGCCUGGUAGUGGGGGACAACGUUUCGAAAGGAACGCUAAUACCGCAUACGUCCUACGGGAGAAAGCAGGGGACCUUCGGGCCUUGCGCUAUCAGAUGAGCCUAGGUCGGAUUAGCUAGUUGGUGGGGUAAUGGCUCACCAAGGCGACGAUCCGUAACUGGUCUGAGAGGAUGAUCAGUCACACUGGAACUGAGACACGGUCCAGACUCCUACGGGAGGCAGCAGUGGGGAAUAUUGGACAAUGGGCGAAAGCCUGAUCCAGCCAUGCCGCGUGUGUGAAGAAGGUCUUCGGAUUGUAAAGCACUUUAAGUUGGGAGGAAGGGCAGUAAGCUAAUAUCUUGCUGUUUUGACGUUACCGACAGAAUAAGCACCGGCUAACUCUGUGCCAGCCGCCGCCGUAA
rnacentral:rRNA from 1 species